rnacentral:rRNA from 1 species
UACGGAAGGGGCAAGCGUUGUUCGGAAUCAUUGGGCGUAAAGGGCGCGCAGGUGGUUCUGUAUGUCUACCGUGAAAGCGUACGGCUCAACCGUAUUUUGUCGGUAGAAACUGCAGGACUUGAGGCUGGGAGGGGCUGGUGGAAUUCCCUGUGUAGCGGUGAAAUACGUAGAGAUUGGGAAGAACACCAGUGGCGAAGGCGGCUAUCUGGACGGUUUCUGACGCUAAGACGCGAAAGCGUGGGGAGCAAACAGG